UACGGAGGGUGCAAGCGUUAUCCGGAUUUACUGGGUUUAAAGGGUGUGUAGGCGGACUAUUAAGUCAGUGGUGAAAUCCCGAGGCUCAACCUCGGAACUGCCUUUGAUACUAUUAGUCUUGAAUGUUGUUGAGGUGGGCGGAACGGGUCAUGUAGCGGUGAAAUGCAUAGAUAUGACCCGGAACACCGAUUGCGAAGGCAGCCCGCUAAGCAACUAUUGACGCUGAGGCACGAAAGCGUGGGGAUCAAACAGGAGUUAGAA
rnacentral:rRNA from 1 species